UUUGUCUACAAACAUAUACCAAACGACCCUUUAGUAUUCAGCAUUGGUAGAACAAGGGUUUCAACCUCAACCUCAAAAUAUUCAGAGUACAUUGCGAGCCUCAUGUCUGGUAUGGUCAAUUUGUGCAAUGCAUUAAUUGAGAUUACCCUCUCUCUACCGAGCUUCAACCAAACACAGUAGAACCCGCUCUAUCUCUUUUGCUUUUAUCUUGAGGAGAAAGGGUUUUGACUCCGAUCUCGACAAAGGUUGUGCAAAGAAUAGAUGUCGUCCAAGCUAAAGAUUGAUAUGGUCUCGAGGCACCUGAUAUGCAAAACUUUGGUGGGGUUGGUUAGAUGAUGCACAACAACCUUCUGAUUUAUGUAUUGUCUAAUACUAUUAAUGGACCUGCAACCCAUAUUUUUCCUUUUACAUUUUAGUGAAUAAAUUUGGGCCUGCUCUGUUUGUGCUUAGUGGGUUGACUAUGUGACUAAGACCAAUUUAUGUUUUUUUUUUUAAACUAUUAUGUAUGAGUGUUAUGUUAUGUUAAUUUCUUGUUUAAAUA